AGAAAUCCCCUGACUUGAAGACUUCCUUAUUUGUAGCUAUCAACAGCCAAUCGUGGCAAGAUAUUGAAAUGAAGCAAAACUACCAGAAAAUAUUCUGUAAGCCACUCGUGACUGUAACUCUGACUUCCUUUUGAAGCAAAGACCCUUUACCUGAAUAGUUAAGAUAUUUUAACAAAAAGCUAGAAAUUGUAAACAAAAAAAUAUUUUUGAUAAAGCACAUUUUCAGCCUGAGCUCAAGUACUCAGAAGAAGAGAGAAGCAAAGAAGGCUCUGCAGGCAGCUUUUCUGCUUUGAGAACUCAGGUUCACUCUUCAGAGAUUUCAACUUUCUCAGGAAGUGAGGGCAGACCCAGUGUGGUCCAUUAUGGUCCUUUCUGGUGUGCCUUUGUCUAAGACAGUGUGGUCCCCUUGAAGUAGCCAACCCUGAUGCUUCCAUGAUAAUCUUGGCCAUGGACUUUUUAACUGAGGAGCUACCCCAGGGAGGUGCCAUGUUGGAUGAUGCUCCAUGACACUGCGGAGGUUCUGAGAGAUUUGCAGACUGACCAGAAGACAACCUCCUGCUUUGGGAUCCUAUUCUCCUCAUUCAGUGUGGGUGUUGCUACAACAAAGCACAUUGAAAUUUAAUCCUAAGAGGGUAAGAGAGAAAUGGUGAUACCUAAUUGCCUCAGGCCUUAGGCCUGAAUUUUCUAGCUAGAGUGAGGCAUGAAGACAAAAAAUGGGAAUGUUAAAUUUUGUGUGAAGACAGGGUUGUUGGCUGGAAGGCAAGGAAAGGAAUAGAUCAUACUUCUCUGUUUCUGAUCACUACCUUGUGAGGAGGUUACCUUGGGAUUCUGGAUGAGAAAUUCCGAACAGCUGCCAGGAAGCAACACACUCUCUGUUUCUCAGGGGAGGAAGAAGGAAAACUAAAGGAACAAAGGACCGUGCCUGGACAGAUGAUGAAGCAAUUAGACUAUUGUGAAAUCUAAAAGAACCGCAGUAUCAGAACAAUUGAAUGAGAAAGUAAAUUACUGAAUGUAAAGCACUAUACAUACUUUGGAAAGAUUUGGAGUAUAUAAGAAAGAAAGAAGCCAUUUUGGAAUCUUAAUGUAAGAUAAGGAGUAAAAUAAACCUGUACUUUUUUUUUUCUGUCAAUCUCUCUCCUGAUUUCCUUGUUUCCCAUCAUGUUGGAGGUCAGUGAGAAGAGUCAACAUGGACCAUUUUUCAUGAAGGUGGCCACUAGUCACCCAGAAUGUCACUAUCUUUUAUUCAGUACUUUGAAAAAUGUACUUAAAUAAAUAAAUGAACACCCCAUUUCAAUUGAGUCAUUUAGUGGGAGUCACAAGGUGAGAGGCCACAGUAUAGACUAAGCCACAUCACUGGUCCCUUGAAAAAGUAAGAGUGGAAUUUUUAUGCUUAUCAAUACUAGUAAAUAAUAAAUGUUUUUAUUUCUUAUCUUUUACAAUAUUUACCUUCAGUGUGAUGUUCAGGUACUGAGUAUUCCAAGGUUAGAAAGAUUGAUGAAUGGACAGACAGGAAGAGUGAAAGACAGGAAAAACAUUUUACAGUUCUGUAGCAUUUCCAGGCUAUUGGUGCCUACUAAUUCCUUCCUGUUGUACAUCUUCUAAACAUAGCUUUCCUUAUGAGUGAUGUGUCAUAUUUAAGAUAGGCUUUAAGUGUUACUGGGAGAGUCCUAUUUCUUCCAAGAUAUUUUUGUUUCUUACUCUUUCAGUCCUUAUGGUUUAACCAUUAAGAAUUAAUUUCUUUAGAUCUUCUAAACUAUCCCACUGAAAUGUAAGUGUCCUUGGAAAGAUAACACCUUGCAUUUCCCUCAAAGAUAACACCUUGCAUUUCCUUGAAGCCUGGUUGGAUAGGCGGGUAGACUCACUUUAGUGAGAUAAACCCUGCUUGAAUAUAACAUAGGCUAGUGUAAGGAUGGAGGAAAGGACAGCCAUGUUCCAAGAGGAUAGCUGAGCAGGGAGGUGAGGAACUGUUACUUAGAUGGGGAGUGUUAUGAGUUACUCUCAAGAGAACUAGUUAGCAGUUGAAUAUAGCUUCCAUUCUAGAAUUGAACAGAUGAGUUACUUAAAAUGGUUGCUUUGGGGGGCAGGUUGAAGAAUUUUGUUGUUCAUCAUCUUCCUGAGAGUCACAUAUAAACAGGCUUACUUUCUAUUUUAAAACAAAGAAAACAGAGGGCUAUGACAGAAGUACCCUGUAAUUGUGACCAUGUGUGAAUCCCAAAUAUAGGCCAUAACAAUAUUUCUACCUGCCCCUGCAGGAACUAACACAUUUGGUGAACUACUUUCUAAAAUUUCAAAUAAAUUAUAAAAAAAUUCAAAAAAAAUGGGAAAGUCAAAGAAAAAAUGUUUUAUCUUCCAAAGACAACUGCAUAUAAAUUUCUAGUUUUCUUUCCUUUAAAUUAAUAUGUUUCCAACUAUUGUACUGCAAAGGAAUAGCCAUUGCAAGAAAGUUUAAAUUCAGAAGGUAUAAAGAGAAGAAGUCUUCCAAAACCGUACUAACUUAAGAAAUGGCCACUAAGAACAUUUGUGUAUUUCCUUUAUGUAUUUAUAAAAAUCUGUAUAUAUGGGUUAUUGCAAAUGACUUGUUCCCAAAAUUGAUUCUGCUUUUCUUCCGGGGCACACAAUGACUCAAUUAAAAACCACAUUUCCCAGAUUCCAUUGUGGCUAGGUGUGACCACAUGACAAAAUUUUCACCAAUGAGACAUGAGAAGAAGUCACAUGUACAAUUUCUGGUCAUUUUCUGUAAAGUGAUUGUCCUUGACCUAUUCUUCCUUUUCCUUUCCACUCACAGGGACUGAUUGUUAGGAGGGAAUAGGAGGUCCAGGCUGAUCAAUAAAUGGCACAAACACCUA